rnacentral:rRNA from 1 species
UGGGGAAUCUUGCGCAAUGGGCGAAAGCCUGACGCAGCAACGCCGCGUGGAGGAUGAAGGCCCUUGGGUUGUAAACUCCUGUCGGCUGGGAAGAACUCGUUCGCGGUUAAUACCCGCGGACGUUGACUGUACCAGCAAAGGAAGCCCCGGCUAACUCUGUGCCAGCAGCCGCGGUAAUACAGAGGGGGCCAGCGUUAUUCGGAAUUAUUGGGCGUAAAGGGCGCGUAGGCGGCCAUGCGUGUCUUCCGUGAAAUCCCUCGGCUCAACCGAGGACGUGCGGAAGAAACUGCAAGGCUCGAGUCCGGAAGAGGGGGCGGAAUUCCCAGUGUAGCGGUGAAAUGCGUAGAUAUUGGGAGGAACACCAGUGGCGAAGGCGGUCCCCUGGGCCGGAACUGACGCUGAGGCGCGAAAGCGUGGGUAGCAAACGGGAUUAGAUACCCCGGUAGUCCACGCCGUAAACGAUGGGCACUUGGUGUCGCGGGUAUCGACCCCUGCGGUGCCGAAGCUAACGCAUUAAGUGCCCCG